rnacentral:rRNA from 1 species
CCCUUAGAUGUUCUGGGCCGCACGCGCGCUACACUGACGACUUCAACGAGUUUUUUUCAUUUGAAAAAGUCCUUGGCCGGAAGGUCUGGGUAAUCUUUUAAAAGGUCGUCGUGAUGGGGCUAGAUUCUUGCAAUUAUUAAUCUCCAACGAGGAAUUCCUAGUAAACGCAAGUCAUCAACUUGCAUUGAUUACGUCCCUGCCCUUUGUACACACCGCCCGUCGCACCUACCGAUUGAACGUUCCGGUGAGGCUUUGGGAUCUGAGCGGAAAGAGCGUUUCGCUGUUUCUGCUCGGAAAACUCAGUCGAACCUUAUCAUUUAGAGGAAGGAGAAGUCGUAACA